rnacentral:tRNA from 1 species
GGAGUUGUGGCUCAGUGGUAGAGCACUCACCUAGCAAAUGCGAGACCCUGGGUUCAAUCCUUAGCACCA